AUCGCUUCUCAGUCUUUUGGCUAAGAUCAAGUGUAGUAUCUGUUCUUAUCAGAAAGAAUUGGAGGAAUGUUGUAUGUUCUGUCAGUGCUGUGCUGCACCCUGGCUAUCUCAUUAUUUCCUUGUGACUCUUCUGUGAAGGAAUGUUCAAUUAUCUACAGAUGGGAUUUGGGUCUCCACUCCGACCUCCAUCAUUU